rnacentral:misc_RNA from 1 species
AACGGUCUAUACCUGCGGUACCUGCGGAAGGAUCAUUAGUGAACGCCCUCACGGGCUUAUAACUAUUCCAAACCUCUGUGAACCGUGCCCUUCGGGGCUAUUUUACAAACAUGGUGUAAUGAACGUCAUAUAUCAUAACAAAACAAAACUUUCAGCAAUGGAUCUCU